rnacentral:rRNA from 1 species
UACAGAGGGGCAAGCGUUGUCCGGAAUUACGUGGCGUACAGCGCGCGCAGGCGGUGGCCGACGUGCCGUGUGACAAGCGGGGGCUCAACCCCCGAGGGCCACGGUAAACGGGGUGACUGGAGGACGGGAGAGGGAUGUGGAAUGCCCGGGUGGAGCGGUGAAAUACGGUAGAGAUCGGGACGGAACACCAGCGGCGAAGGCGGCAUCCUGGCCCGUACCUGACGCUGAAGCGCGACAGCGUGGGGGAGCAAACAGGG